rnacentral:lncRNA from 1 species
AGAGUCUUUCAUUUGCAUUGUAUUGUGAACACCAUUGAUUGUAUAUCAAGUGUUCAAACUCAAACAAUUUUAUGUGUAAUUCUGUUUGAAUAGAAGUCUCUUGCUUUAGUGCUUGAGCAUAGGAAGUCUCUUGCUUUAGUGCUUGAGCAAAGGAAGUCUCUUGCCUGCGUGCUUGAGCAAUUUGAAGUCUUAUACUAGGUGUGGUAUUGAGUAGUUGUAAUCUGUGUGAUUAAACUUAGUGAAAAUCUCC